GAUGAACGCUGGCGGCGUGCUUAACACAUGCAAGUCGAACGAUGAUCUCCAGCUUGCUGGGGGGAUUAGUGGCGAACGGGUGAGUAACACGUGAGUAACCUGCCCUUGACUCUGGGAUAAGCCUGGGAAACUGGGUCUAAUACCGGAUAUGACUCCUCAUCGCAUGGUGGGGGGUGGAAAGCUUUUUGUGGUUUUGGAUGGACUCGCGGCCUAUCAGCUUGUUGGUGAGGUAAUGGCUUACCAAGGCGACGACGGGUAGCCGGCCUGAGAGGGUGACCGGCCACACUGGGACUGAGACACGGCCCAGACUCCUACGGGAGGCAGCAGUGGGGAAUAUUGCACAAUGGGCGAAAGCCUGAUGCAGCGACGCCGCGUGAGGGAUGACGGCCUUCGGGUUGUAAACCUCUUUCAGUAGGGAAGAAGCGUAAGUGACGGUACCUGCAGAAGAAGCG
rnacentral:rRNA from 1 species